AACCAUAGAAACCUGCGGAGUACCUGCGGAGGGAUCAUUAACAAAUCCAUCAUACGAUGACCCUACCUUGUGUGCACCUGUAAAUAACUGCCCUUUAGAGUAAAGGAUUGGACUGGGGGUCGGUGACCCUUGUCUGGUUGCCACUGCUUGCCAACCUUUUUCUAAAGGGUUUUUUAUAAACGUCUUUUGAACAAAUAAAAAUUUUAAACCAUAACAAAUACAACUUUUAGCAACGGAUCU
rnacentral:misc_RNA from 1 species